rnacentral:rRNA from 1 species
CAGUCGCCGCGGUAAGACGAACCGUGCGAACGUUAUUCGGAAUCACUGGGCUUAAAGCGCGUGUAGGCGGGCCGCCACGCCGGCUGCUGAAAUCCCCCGGCUCAACCGGGGAACGGGCACCGAUACGAGCGGCCUCGAGGGGGGUAGGGGGGUCUGGAACUUCCGGUGGAGCGGUGAAAUGCGUUGAGAUCGGAAGGAACGCCCGUGGCGAAAGCGAGGCCCUGGACCCUUUCUGACGCUGAGACGCGAAAGCCAGGGGAGCGAACGGGAUUAGAUACCCCGGUAGUCCCUGUCUCUUAUU